CCCGACUGCUAUCGGGGUGGCACUAAGCCAUGGGAGUCGCACAUCCCACCGCUGUGGGGUGUGGCGAACGGCUGAGUAACACGUGGCUAACCUACCCUCGGGACGGGGACAACUCCGGGAAACUGGAGCUGAUCCCCGAUAGGCGGGGAGUCCUGGAACGGUUCUCCGCCAAAAAGGACUAGGAGGGGUUAACGCUUCUAGUCCGCCCGAGGAUGGGGCUGCGCCCCAUCAGGUAGUUGGCGGGGUAAUGGCCCGCCAAGCCUAUAACGGGUGGGGGCCGUGAGAGCGGGAGCCCCCAGAUGGGCACUGAGACAAGGGCCCAGGCCCUACGGGGCGCACCAGGCGGGAAACCUCCGCAAUGCGGUAACCCGUGACGGGGUCACCCCGAGUGCUCCCCUUAUGGGGAGCUUUUCCCCGCUGCAGGAAGGCGGGGGUAAUAAGUGGGGGGCAAGACUGGUGUCAGCCGCCGCGGUAAUACCAGCCCCACGAGUGGUCGGGACGGUUAUUGGGCCUAAAGCGCCCGUAGCCGGCCCAGCAAGUUCCUGCUAAAAUCACCGGGCUCAACCCGGUGUUUGGUGGGAAUACUGUUGGGGUAGGAGGCGGGAGAGGCCGGGGGUACUCCUAGGGUAGGGGGCGAAAUCCUAUUAAUCCUAGGAGGACCACCAGUGGCGAAGGCGCCCGGCUGGAACGCGCUCGACGGUGAGGGGCGAAAGCUGGGGGAGCAAACCGGAUUAGAUACCCGGGUAGUCCCAGCUGUAAANGAUGCGGANUAGGUUGUUGGACGGACNUAGGGUCCGUCCAGUGCCGCAGGGAAGCCGUUAAGUCCGCCGCCUGGGGAGUACGGCCGCAAGGCUGAAANUUAAAGGAAUUGGCGGGGGAGCACCACAAGGGGUGGAGCCUGCGGCUUAAUUGGAGUCAACGCCGGGAACUUUACCGGGGGCGACAGCAGGAUGACGGCCAGGCUAAUGACCUUGCCUGACGCGCUGAGAGGAGGUGCACGGCCGUCGCCAGCUCGUGCCGUGAGGUGUCUGGUUAAGUCCAGCAACGAGCGAGACCCCUGCCCCUAAUUGCUACCUGCUCCUUCGGGAGUAGGGCACAUUAGGGGGACUGCCGGCGUCUAAGCCGGAGGAAGGUGGGGGCCACGGCAGGUCAGCAUGCCCCGAAACCCCCGGGCUGCACGCGGGCUACAAUGGCUGGGACAGCGGGAACCGACCUCGAAAGAGGAAGGUAAUCCCUCAAACCCAGCCGCAGUUGGGAUCGAGGACUGAAACCCGUCCUCGUGGACGAGGAAUCCCUAGUAACCGCGCGUCAUCAUCGCGCGGUGAAUACGUCCCUGCUCCUU
rnacentral:rRNA from 1 species